rnacentral:rRNA from 1 species
GCAGCCGCGGUAAUUCCAGCUCCAAUAGCGUAUAUUAAAGUUGUUGCAGUUAAAAAGCUCGUAGUUGGAUUUCUGCGAGGGUGCCAAUGUCCGCCGACGCGCGUGCGCAGCGGCGCCCUCGCGUCCUUCUGUUACCACCUCUCGGCAUUCACUUGCCGGUGGUCGGCUCAGAGAAUUUACCUUGAGAAAAUUAGAGUGUUUCAGGCAGGCUAGGCCGGAAUACAUUAGCAUGGAAUAAUGGAAUAGGACUACGGUCUCGUUGUUGGUUUGAGGGACUGCAGUAAUGAUUAAUAGGGAUAGUUGGGGGCAUUAGUAUUUAAUUGUCAGAGGUGAAAUUCUCAGAUUUGUUAAAGACUAACUUAUGCGAAAGCAUUUGCCAAGGAUGUUUUCAUUGAUCAAGAACGAAAGU